rnacentral:rRNA from 1 species
UACAGAGGGUGCGAGCGUUGUCCGGAAUCACUGGGCUUAAAGGGCGCGUAGGCGGCAGAUCAAGUCCGGGGUGAAAUCCUCCAGCUCAACUGGAGAAGUGCCUUGGAUACUGAUGUGCUCGAGGGAGGUAGGGGUCCGCGGAACUUCUGGUGGAGCGGUGAAAUGCGUUGAUAUCAGAAGGAACGCCGGUGGCGAAAGCGGCGGACUGGAUCUCUUCUGACGCUGAGGCGCGAAAGCGUGGGGAGCAAACAGG